rnacentral:ncRNA from 1 species
CUGAGGUCGUCGUAAGGCGACUUGACCGCAGCGCAGAAGUCAGCAGCGGGCAUAGUAGGCGGUGGCGUGCCGUCGAAGGCC